rfam:Gossypium arboreum cultivar AKA8401 contig_49294_3, whole genome shotgun sequence.
AUUUCGUGAUGAGGGCAUUUCCAUAAUAACUUUUUUUGUAUCGUUCCCAUGCCUCAUACAAGGACUCAUCAUCCAUUUGUUGGAAGGCAGUGAUCUCGUUCCUCAACUU